rnacentral:rRNA from 1 species
UAAUACGUAGGUGGCAAGCGUUGUCCGGAAUUAUUGGGCGUAAAGCGCGCGCAGGCGGCUUCUUAAGUCUGAUGUGAAAUCUUGCGGCUCAACCGCAAGCGGUCAUUGGAAACUGGGAGGCUUGAGUGCAGAAGAGGAGAGUGGAAUUCCACGUGUAGCGGUGAAAUGCGUAGAGAUGUGGAGGAACACCAGUGGCGAAGGCGGUUCUCUGGUCUGUAACUGACGCUGAGGCGCGAAAGCGUGGGGAGCAAACAGGAUUAGAUACCCUGGUAGUCCACGCCGUAAACGAUGAGUGCUAAGUGUUAGAGGGUUUCCGCCCUUUAGUGCUGCAGCUAACGCAUUAAGCACUCCGCCUGGGGAGUACGGCCGCAAGGCUGAA